UCUUGAGUUGUUCAAUUGCUUUUGUAUUCUCAUACUAGAGCACCUAAACAUCUACUUCUACUUUUCUUGUACUUUGAGGCUUGCACUGGAGGGUUGAUUGGCUGCAUGUAGGUCGUUCUUGUAGUGGGGGAUUGCAUUUGCAUCUGACUUCUCCUACCUUGUGUGAUUUUGGUUUUUUUUAUUAUUGGGGUUGCAUAUGUCACUAAUGUUUUUAAUUGCUUUUGAAAUGCCCUAUUAGAAGUAUCUAUGUAGUCAGUUGAUUCUCUUCCUACAGUUUCACUAGUGGUGUGCAACUUGAACUACCUUUAAAACAAGACUGCUUUAAAUGUGUAACGAGGCAAGUUCCUUACACUUGAACAUGUGAUGAGCUUCAGUACAUAAAGUCUGUUUGAUAUCAUAUGGAUUUAGCAUUAUAAGCAGACCGAAUCAAAAUAAAAAAAGUUUAAUGAAGGAAGUACUUGCUUUGCUAUAUAAAUAUGAACAAUUGGUCUUAAUAGAUAUACUAGAAAUGGACUAUUUGUUAUUAUGUCAGACACCUCCAUACCUUUUUUUUGUUGAGUUAAUUACUAGUUACCAAACCUUCUGAAUGCGAGGUACCUGUAAGAGUGCAUGCACGGGAAAGUAUGGACAGGUUGGCGUAUGGGGGAUAAAGUCUGUCAGCAGUCUCUUCAUAAUGAUGGCAGUAUCGCACAUGCAAACGUAUCUUCUAUCAGAAAAGAAACUCAAUCAAUAUUAUAUCUGGCCAUCAAAGAUGCAACUCAAGAAGGCAAUGAAUCUGGAAAAGAUAAUGGUCCUGUUUGUUCUAGAUGCAUUGAUUUGGAUUGGUCACGCGAAGUUUUUUUUAAGCCAACUUCAAAGUAGAAGCUUUUGUAGGUCUUGUCUCAUGAGUCUCGGCAACAUUUCAUACCAGAUUUGUGCUCACCAUCUUUUUCCCCUACAAUUUGCUGUUUUUGAUAUAUUUGUUGAUUCAUAUGUUUAGUUGGUAGUGUCUGUUGCUUUUAUGUCAGCAUAAUAAAUGUAAUUUUGUCUUCAGAUAGCAUGCACUCAAUAAAUCCAUUUCAGUGGCUGUGUGCUCUUGAGGCAAACUUGCUUUCUUUUGAGAACUAGCCACAAGUAUGAUGAAUUGGGAGCUCAGAUUCUUUUCUCCAUGGGUGCAGUUGAACUUAUUCAACAUGCAUGACACAAACACCAUUGCUUGACUUAUCAUUUUUUAGUACCAAAAAUUGUGUAUGCUUUGAAUGCUACAACUGCAAUUAUCUGGAAGUUAGAGAUUACAAUAAUGACAAGGUGUAUCUGUAUGGAGACUGAUAAUGGAAUGUUUCUACACUCCAAUAGAGGAACUUGGAUCACGACUAUGCCCUAACGAUCAAACAUGGAAUGUGUCAAAUUUAGGCAAGGAAAAAGUUUUGACAUCACAGUACUGCAGUGGAAGUGCCAAUUGGCCAAUUGGGUUGGAAGAAGACUUUCAGGGUAUUGUGGAUCUUGUGCAAUCAUAAGCAGUGCGCAAAAGUGGUGAAGAAAUUUCAGCUGAUAUGCAAACAAUGGCUGCUGAAAAGUGCCAUGAGUUAGUUGAGGCAGUCUCUGAUGUUGAUGAUGAACUUGCGGAAGCAUUUCUCUGUUACGAACCUAUAUCGUCUGCUCUGACCUUGAGGCAGCUAGUCGUUGAGCAACUAUAGCACGAAAGUUUAUACCAGUGUUUGUGGGUAGUGCAUUUAAGAUUAAGGGAGUACAGCCAAUUUUGUCCGAAUUCUGGUAUCUCCCACAAAGACGAGUGAGAGAGCGUUCCAUAUUGCCUAUUGUGGCUUGUGGUUAACAUGUAAUAGCAAGUUCCAUAAGAUUAUAUGAAGCAGAAUCAUAUAUUAACCUAUCUUAUGGUUACUGACUUGAGACUGUUUCUGUUGGUAUGUAAUAUUAUCAUGUAAUAUGUAAUAUCUAUCUAGUGACCAAGUGACUAGCUUUAGUUCC